AUUGAACGCUGGCGGCAUGCCUUACACAUGCAAGUCGAACGGUAACGGGCCUUCGGGUGCCGACGAGUGGCGAACGGGUGAGUAAUGUAUCGGAACGUACCUUUCAGUGGGGGAUAACGUAGCGAAAGUUACGCUAAUACCGCAUAUUCUGUGCGCAGGAAAGCAGGGGAUCGCAAGACCUUGCGCUGAUUGAGCGGCCGAUAUUGGAUUAGCUAGGUGGUGAGGUAAAGGCUCACCAAGGCGACGAUCUGUAGCGGGUCUGAAAGGAUGAUCCGCCACACUGGAACGGAGAAACGGUCCAGACUCCUGCGGGAGGCAGCAGUGGGGAAUUUUGGACAAUGGGGGCAACCCUGCUCCAGCCAUGCCGCGGGAGUGAAGAAGGCCUUCGGGUUGUAAAGCUCUUUCGGCCGGGAAGAAAUCGCACAGGCUAAUACCUUGUGUGGAUGACGGUACCGGAAUAAGAAGCACCGGCUAACUACGUGCCAGCAGCCGCAGUAAAAC
rnacentral:rRNA from 1 species